rnacentral:pre_miRNA from 12 species
CCCUGGGGUACAUACUUCUUUAUGUACCCAUAUGAAGAUAUGAAAGCUAUGGAAUGUAAAGAAGUAUGUAUUCUCGGU